GAGACAAAGCAAUUUUAAGAUGAAGUUUCCCUUUAGAGGACAGAGGCUGAGGGGGCUGGGACAUACAUCUUUUUCCUUCCAGAGAGCAAGCUUCGUGGGUGGGGAAAAGAUCAUGGUUUGAGCCAACUUCUCCCAAAACACAAGGUGGUACCCUCUAAGACCACCAAAGACAGCAGUGUUUUUUAAAACAUGAUGGGCUGAACCUGGCAACCACUGUUAAUGUUGACUCAAUGUGAGUUAAGACCAAAUUAGAUUGGCUGUUUUUUAUGCUAAUCCAUGCCAGAAUUCCAACUGAUGGCUCCUUUUAAAUUAAGCAGAGGGAAGCUGCUGAAUGUUGGAGGGUUUGGACAUCUGGCUACCCAAGCAGGCAUGGACAGAGGUUAACAGGCCAAGCAAGAGAGAUGAUUUUGCCACAAGCAACAAAGCAAAAUGAACAAGAUUGUUCUCUGGAUCCUCCCACCUCCACUCCUGCCCUCUCCCACCUCCAGCCACCCUCCACUUCCAGAACCCAGGCUGAGGAGCUGAGGGACACAGAGAAGGAAGGACUCACCGCCUCGUGGGACUUGGGAACAGGUAUGAUGAUGGCCAGCACACAGAUGAGCUGGAAGAUGGCCC